GGGUCAGUAGGUUGGUCGUGCCACCGGUACGUACUGGUCUCACUGAUUCCUCCUUCCUGAAGAACCGUAAUGCCAUUAAUUUGGUGUUGCGGGGAAACAGGACUGUUACUUUGAAAGAAUUAAAGUGUUUAAAGCAAGCUAACGCUUGAAUACAUUAGCAUGGAAUAAUGAAAUAGGACGAUCGAUCCUAUUUUGUUGGUUUCUAGGAUUGACGUA
rnacentral:rRNA from 1 species